rnacentral:lncRNA from 1 species
GCCUCGGGUCCCUGUGUCGUUCGCCCCUCGGGUCUCCUAGUGUCGUCUGCCCCUCGGGUCCCUAGUGUCGUCUGCCCCUCGGUCCCUAGUGUCGUCUGCCCCUCGGGUCCCUAGUGUCGUCUGCCCUCGGGUCCCUGUGUCGUCUGCCCCUCGGUCCCUCGUGUCGUCUGCCCUCGGGUCCCUAGUGUCGUCUGCCCCUCGGGUCCCUAGUGUCGUCUGCCCCUCGGGUCCCUAGUGUCGUCUGCCCCUCGGGUCCCUAGUGUCGGUCCGUAGUGUCGUGUUUCUGCGACCCCUAAUACAUUAGUCCAUGUUUUGAUUUCUUCCCGUUUCUCCCUGCCCUCCAGAUGCCAAAGCUACCUCCACCUGCCAGUCCAGUUCAGCCGGUUGUAACUGGCAACCACUCCAGCCUGCUGUUGGUUCAGACGGAUACCAGUGGAAACAUCGCUAUCCAGCUGACUGGUGGCCCUGCCCUGAUGACCAAGAGGACUGCUGCUCUGGGUCAGUGAGGAAUGCUGCUUGGGUAGUGAGGACUGCUGCUCUGGGUCAGUGAGGACUGCUGCUCUGGGUCCUGAGGACUGCUGCUCUGGGUCAGUGAGGACUGCGUCUCGGGUCUGAGGACUGCUGGGUCACUGCAUCUGUAGUGUGGCUGUACUGGAGCACUGAUGGUCAUAUGGAAGAAUGAACUAUGAAGCCUUUGUCCAAUAUGGCACCCUAAUCCCUAGUAGUGCACUGCUUCAGGCCCGGCAACGUCCCAACGUCUCAUUGGUUCCACUCCGCAACUUCCCAACGUCUCAUUGGUUCCACUCCUGGCAACGUCCCAACGUCUCAUUGGUACCACUCCUGGCAACGUCCCAACGUCUCAUUGGUACCAAUCCUGGCAACGUCACAACGUCUCAUUGGUUCCACUCUGGCAACGUCACAACGUCCAUUGGUUCACCUCCUGGCAACGUCACAACGUCUCAUUGGUUCCACUCCUGGCACGUCACAACGUCUCAUUGGUUCCACUCCUGGCAACGUCCCAACGUCUCAUUCAUAUAUCCUAUCCUCUGGGGGUUGACAUGGAGCAGACUACAGCUCUAUAUCCUAUCCUCUGGGGGUCUGCGUAGAGCUAGCAGACUAGAAACAUUUGACUGAAUUUGAUGCCCAGUACAACUUGAAGAGAGUUGGCAUGGCUGAUGUCAUGUUGACGGGUUUAUAUGGGGUUUUGGUCAGUUGACCUACUGAUGAACUCAAGAGUAAUCUCCGUGCUGGGCCAGGAGGAGGUUUUCCACCAUCAACUCAUCAUUGUUCCCUACUUUGGUUUUCUAUUAGAAAUGGCACAUGCUUUAAAAAAGCACAUGGUUUAUAUUAUAUGUUGUUGUGAUUGUAAAUGAACCUGAUCAAAUAAAGAUUUGUCAAACAUUUUGCUCGCUUUUUUU